UGGGGAAUAUUGGACAAUGGGCGCAAGCCUGAUCCAGCCAUGCCGCGUGAGUGAUGAAGGCCCUAGUGUUGUAAAGCUCUUUCACCGGUGAAGAUAAUUACGGUAACCGGAGAAGAAGCCCCGGCUAACUUCGUGCCAGCAACCGCGGUAAUACGAAGGGGGCUAGCGUUGUUCGGAUUUACUGGGCGUAAAGCUCACGUAGGCGGACUAUUAAGUCAGGGGUGAAAUCCCGGGGCUCAACCCCGGAACUGCCUUUGAUACUGGUAGUCUUGAGUUCGAGAGAGGUGCGUGGACUUCCGAGUGUAGAGGUGAACUUCGUAGAUAUUCGGAGGAACUCCAGUAGCGAAGGCGGCUCACUGGCUCGAUACUGACGCUGAGGUGCGAAAGCGUGGGGAGCAAACAGG
rnacentral:rRNA from 1 species